CCCUUAGAUGUUCUGGGCUGCACACGUGCUACACUGGCAGGUUCAGCGAGCUUCAUGCCCUGAUCUGAAAGGAAUGGGAAAUCUUUUCAAAACCUGCCGUGCUUGGGAUAGAUGUUUGCAAUUAUUCAUCUUCAACGAGGAAUACCUUGUAAGCGCGGGUCAUCAUCCCGCGCUGAAUACGUCCCUGCCCUUUGUACACACCGCCCGUCGCUCCUACCGAUUGAGUGGUCCGGUGAGGCUUUGGGAUCUGAGCGGAAAGAGCGUUUCGCUGUUUCUGCCCGGAAAACUCAGUCGAACCUUAUCAUUUAGAGGAAGGAGAAGUCGUAACA
rnacentral:rRNA from 1 species